AUACGGAGGAUCCGAGCGUUAUCCGGAUUUAUUGGGUUUAAAGGGAGCGUAGGUGGACAGUUAAGUCAGUUGUGAAAGUUUGCGGCUCAACCGUAAAAUUGCAGUUGAUACUGGCUGUCUUGAGUACAGUAGAGGUGGGCGGAAUUCGAGGUGUAGCGGUGAAAUGCUUAGAUAUCACGAAGAACUCCGAUUGCGAAGGCAGCUCACUGGACUGCAACUGACACUGAUGCUCGAAAGUGUGGGUAUCAAACAGGAUUGGAUACCCUGGUAGUCCACACAGUAAACGAUGAAUACUCGCUGUUUGCGAUAUACAGUAAGCGGCCAAGCGAAAGCAUUAAGUAUUCCACCUGGGGAGUACGCCGGCAACGGUGAAACUCAAAGGAAUUGGCGGGG
rnacentral:rRNA from 1 species